rnacentral:rRNA from 1 species
ACACUCCUGCGGGAGGCAGCAGUGGGGAAUAUUGGACAAUGGGCGCAAGCCUGAUCCAGCCAUGCCGCGUGAGUGAUGAAGGCCCUAGGGUUGUAAAGCUCUUUCACCGGUGAAGAUAAUGACGGUAACCGGAGAAGAAGCCCCGGCUAACUUCGUGCCAGCAGCCGCGGUAAUACGAAGGGGGCUAGCGUUGUUCGGAUUUACUGGGCGUAAAGCGCACGUAGGCGGACUAUUAAGUCAGGGGUGAAAUCCCGGGGCUCAACCCCGGAACUGCCUUUGAUACUGGUAGUCUGGAGUUCGAGAGAGGUGAGUGGAAUUCCGGGUGUAGAGGUGAAAUUCGUAGAUAUUCGGAGGAACACCAGUGGCGAAGGCGGCUCACUGGCUCGAUACUGACGCUGAGGUGCGAAAGCGUGGGGAGCAAACAGGAUUAGAAACCCCAGUAGUCCCAUGA